rnacentral:tRNA from 1 species
GCCGGGGUGGCGGAACUGGCAGACGCACAGGACUUAAAAUCCUGCGGUCCUUUCGACCGUACCGGUUCGAUUCCGGUCCUCGGCA